rnacentral:rRNA from 1 species
UACGGGGGGGGCAAGCGUUGUUCGGAAUUACUGGGCGUAAAGGGCUCGUAGGCGGCCAACUAAGUCGGACGUGAAAUCCCCAGGCUCAACCUGGGAACUGCGUCCGAUACUGGAUGGCUUGAAUCCGGGAGAGGGAUGCAGAAUUCCCGGUGUAGCGGUGAAAUGCGCAGAGAUCGGGAGGAACACCCGUAGCGAAGGCGGCACUCUGGGCCGGUACUGACGCUGAGGAGCGAAAGCGUGGGGAGCAAACAGG